AACGAACGCUGGCGGCAUGCCUAACACAUGCAAGUCGAACGAGACCUUCGGGUCUAGUGGCGCACGGGUGCGUAACGCGUGGGAACCUGCCCUUAGGUUCGGAAUAACUCCCCGAAAGGGGUGCUAAUACCGGAUAAUGUCUUCGGACCAAAGAUUUAUCGCCUUUGGAUGGGCUCGCGUUGGAUUAGCUAGUUGGUAGGGUAAAAGCCUACCAAGGCGACGAUGCAUAGCUGGUCUGAGAGGAUGGUCAGCCACACUGGGACUGAGACACGGCCCAGACUCCUACGGGAUGCAGCAGUGGGGAAUAUUGGACAAUGGGCGAAAGCCUGAUCCAGCAAUGCCGGGUGAGUGAUGAAGGCCUUAGGGUUGUAAAGCUCGUUUACCCGGGACGAUAAUGACAGUACCGGGAGAAUAAGCUCCGGCUAACUCCGUG
rnacentral:rRNA from 1 species